GGUGGCCGUGGCCAGCAGCAUGCUACCGGCGCCGCGGCAAGAUGGGCUGCGCACUAGAGGGAGCGGCAGGGAAUGGCUAUCUCGAGCCACCAUCAGCAGCUGCAGCUCCAACUACCUCUGUGCGAUUAACGGUGCUACACGUGGGGAUGAGCUUUCUGGUGCUGCUGCAUAUGCCGCUCCCUCCUGCUCCAUCGAGUUGCAAUCACGAACAACACUGAACUACUGGCCUAUGUCAGUGAAAUACUUCUUGCUUGCGUGAGUGGAAGUUUGAAACAGAGGAAGAGCAGACAACAAAGUGUAUGGACUAUGCCUUAUUGCUUGACUUGCAAUGAAGGAGUCCAGGUCCUUCCAUAUAGGACUUAAUUACAAACUAACUACAGAGGCUGGUGGCACUCUAUGGAAUACGGAGCUACUUGAUAAGUCAUGGCAUGAGAUUGCCCGCUUUUGAUAUAAGCCAAGCAUUAGCCUUGAGGUGAUCUGUGUGGCUGCAGUGAUACACUUGAAUGAAAAUAUAUGAAGCCAUCACGGGAUGUUGUUUUCAACCAGUAUAAGGUUCCGUUGACUAAGCAUGUAGAGACUGAAAUGGAAUUCCUGACACUAUGUAACUUCAUCUCUGGGGUAAUUGAAGAAAUGCUCCACGAAUAAGGCAUCCAUCGAUAUAUGUUCAACAUCAUGUUCCUCUACUUAAGCCAAUGUUAUUUUUAGG